rnacentral:rRNA from 1 species
UUUAUAAUCUGGCUGUCUUUGGCAGUCCGAGUUGUAGUCUAGAGAAGUGUUAUCCGCGCAGACCCUUAUAGAUUUCGGUUGGAAUGCCAAGUCAAAGAGGGUGAGAAUCCCGUAUUUGAUAAGGUGGUCUUGUGCAUUGUGAUACAUUUUCAAAGAGUCGAGUUGUUUGGGAAUGCAGCUCAAAGUGGGUGGUAAAUUCCAUCUAAAGCUAAAUAUUGGCGAGAGACCGAUAGCGAACAAGUACCGUGAGGGAAAGAUGAAAAGCACUUUGGAAAGAGAAUGAAAUAGUACCUGAAAUUGCUGAAAGGGAAACGAGUGAAGUUAGACUUGCGCAGUUGGUAUUCAGCCUUGGCUUCGGUCUUGGUGCAUUUGCCUUCUAUUGCAGGCCAACAUCAGUUUACUUUGCGGUAAAAGGGUUUGGGGAAUGUGGCUUCUUCGGGAGUGUUAUAGCCCUUUACUGGAUGCCGAAUCGUAGACUGAGGAACGCAGCGCGCCUUUAUGGCAAAGCUUUGAAGCUUCGA